UCUCUCUCUCUCUCUCUCUCUCUCUCUCUCUCUCUCUCUCUCGUGCGCCGGGUAUAACAGCCUCGAUUUAAUCACGUCAUAAGAAUGCGACCCCCGGCCUUGUGCAACACCGCUUCCAGAUUGUGUUUCGUAAUACUCGCUUCCCGUGUCGUCCGGGAAUUCGCCGUCUCCAUGCGGCUCCUCCGGUUCUUCUUCUUCUUCGUCGUUUUGAAAAUCUUGUAAUUCUUGUUCUCUCCACAAUCGAGUCUAUUUUUAACAUUAGCGCCUCGACAUUCUCGUGUAUUUAUCCCGUGCGUCAACUCGUCAUUAUCUCCCCGGCUUCUCCCGCGUCGCGCAACGCGACCGGUUUUUUGCAUAUCGUCGAACGGAAAUCUCGAGAGGAAGUUAUGGGAAACUUACGCUCGCCGAACCAAGAAUGGACGGCUCCCCCCAUUCACUUCACCGUCGAAUCCGGAGCAUUCUGCUGACGUGGUACCGACUGCACGUGGCAUUUGCCCUCCGAGUAAAUUCCUUCAGCCGCGCCAACUCCUCGUCGCGAGCUCACAUUCGCGCGAAGCUCAAGUCGUUGAGAUAAAUAAAAAUCUCGCAAGCGCUCGAGGAUCAUCCUUCCGCGCGGACAGUGCGCAUCGCCUCGUUACGUAAUCGCGGGACGCGAAGGAAAGACGAGCCAGGUGAAUUCCUGCUUAGCGGAGCGGCGAUCUCGAACAGGCAGGCAGAACGAACAUCGAGGCACGGAACAUCUUCUCGCCGGCGUGUGCCAGCUUGUCCAGGUUUCACCGUGAAGCCCCUGUCCGAGGUCGGAUAGAAUUCGCCGGGGUAGGAAGUAGGAAGAUCCUCAGCGGCAGGUGUGACCCCGGCGGGCAGCUGUUGACGAAUUUCCACGCGAGCGUGGCUCGUUGUGAUGUAGCGCUGCGCGCUCGCUCGCCCUCUGCUCAUUGUCCACCUUGCCACCGGUGGCGAAGCAACGACAGUUGCUAGGCGAGGUCAAUGGCAGCGCGAUGCCGAGCGGCUUGGCGAAUAGUCGCACACGCCGCCGCCGCUGAACCAUCGGUCGCGAUUCACCGUAGGAUUAACCAGCGCGCGGCUGUUCUACCGGCUCUCUCUCUCUCUCUCUCUCCCUCUCUCUCUCUCUCUCUCUCGUUUUUCUCUUUCCCGAAACAUGCAAUCGUUUAUCGUUAUCUGGCUCCGUUCCAUCCGGUCGAUUGCCGAAGCGAAUCGCUUCGUUAGAAUGCUCGCAUGGCUCUCGCUCGCCGCCGCCGCCGCUCUCCAUACUUGACGCAAUUCGAGAAGAAUUGCGCGAUUGCAGCGCGGAACUCGCUGAUGGACGCGUGGAUGUGCCGGGACGCGCGCGCAUCGCACGAUACCGUACGGUAUUCGCCGCGUUGCGCAAUGCGAAUUGACCUAAUGGCUCUAAUCUUCGCAUUGUUAUGUUAAUUGCGAGCGAGAAGCACGUCCUACAUUAUAGCGGCUAA